CGUUAUUACCAGGAACAAUAGCAGAUAAGUAUCUUUGGCUUCCACCACACCCCAAAACAAAACAGAAACUUCACUAACACUUGGUAAGGCAAGGUUAAAAAAAGGAACUGCAGAAAGAAGCGCAAAGAGGUCACGAAGUUUAAAGGAAGUAGAUAUAAACUCAACACAAAAAUAAAUAAAUAAAUAAAUAAAUGUAUCUGAGGAGGAAACCUAAAUCCAUGGUGGCAGCUGCCCACUUUGAACUGCGUUUUUUCAUGGUAUGCUGCACCAUUACACAGUAGGUUAAAUAUCCACAAUAUAAGAUCAAUGGCCCAUCCAGGCAUGUGCUAAUUUCACACUAUUCCAUUGUUAAUAGCCAAGAUUUAAUGGAAAUAACUCUUGUUGUUGUCCAGUCCCCUAAACAAUUUUUUAGAUCACUUUGAUCUGCCUUGUAAGAUGAUCUCUUGAUUCUGCUGAUUUUCUUGUUGGAAAAUUAGUCUCGUCUUUAUAUACUACGAGUUGCAUGCUGCUGUUUCUGAAGCUGAAGCAGAGGAGGAGAACACCAACAUUUUCUGGUGUUUGACAAGGUCCAUGCAAGUAGAUGUGCAAGAGGAGGGGAAGAAAUAAAUCUGUGCGUGGGUUGAACUCAGUUCUGGGAUGAGUUUAAAAAUGUAAAUAUCCUGCAAUUUUUUUUUAAUUUAUUUAUUUAUUUUUGCUAUCCCUCAUAAUGCUAUGCAUUGAAUCUACUUUGUUGUAACACGUCAGGAGUCACCGUGUGUUUUGCCUAAGCCAUGGCUUCUUUGGAACCCUAUAUUUGUGUUUUCAGUUCAUGCAUCACUGCUGUAUGGCUUUCUAGAGAAGGUCAAAAAGAAGCACUGCUGUGUUUUUUUUUGUUUGUUUGUUUGUUUUUUUAAGUAUACCUAAAGGAUAAUUUGUUUUGCAGCUGUGAGUAGAAACUUGUAAAGGAUACCUGCCUGGGAAUCUUGCUGCCUUUGUGGUCCUCUGGAUUUCCCAACUCGUUUGGGAGUGUUCCCAAUAACAAUCUACUUGGUUGUGCUCUAGGAAACAUUAGAACAAGCACCUUUGCCACACACCCAUUACUAGUUCUGGAGAUCUGAUGUGCCACAGCAACUAUGCCGUGAGGGUAGGAAAUCCUGAUACUGAAAAGAGGAAAAUUGAAGAAGGACAUUCAAACUCUGGAUUUAGAAACAUGUUAGUAGUAGGUCAGUGUACCUGUUGGUAUCUGAGUGACAGAUUUCUGUAUUCUGAUGAAUUCACAUUUCAAAUCUGAGCUCACACUGAUAUUGCUCAGUAGCCCGUGAGGUUUCUUUAUGGGGCCAAAUCUCAGCCGCGUGCCACUCUUGCUUAAGUGGAGUUUCUGAUUGGAGGCUCGGGUCUGGCCUGGGUUUUGAUGGCUUAUGUGAUGGUGAGGUUCUGGACUGAGAACCUCUUCUUUUUCAGCAGGUAAGUGUAUUUUGAAGGCCUCCAGCAAGCAUUUAACAAGCCUCUGCUAGAAUGAGCACCAACAGAUUGUAAACUGCAAAGUGCAAGGUAAUUGAAUCUGGUCUCUGGCUUUUACCCAGUAUAGUAAUUGGAAAUUGCCUCUCUUCUAACUAUAUGCCAUUCCUAGGAUUGUUCCUUCUUGAAACUCUGAUCUGAUCAUUUUUAGAACCAGACAUGAGGUAAGAAGUGGUUUACAGUCCCCUUGGUACUGGUGGAGAACAGCAAAGUGGAGACUCUGGUAUACUUCCUGCUGUGUCAUUGGUAUUACACUAAGUCCUGGACAGUAAUUAACAGCUUAGCAAACAUGAACUCAGUCCUUUGAAUAGCCACGGCCUGAAGCCCAAAUAUCAGUGCUCUGUUCCAGGUCAAAACAGAUGACCUACGGAAGGACUGGGUGGAAGCGGUCCCAGUUUGCUCUUGGCAGCAGGCUGCAGAGUGCCGCCGCAGCCACCCCUCCAGACAGGGCAACGCUGGCCUGUCUGUACUCCCUGCGCUGCCUUGGUCACGGACGUAGUCCGAGCACUGUCCUGUGAAGUGGCCGAGCAGUCCUGUAGACAGUGCGAGGGGUCUAAAAGCUUUGUUCAGCCUCAGAAAUGCUAUUUCCCUAAUUCUUCAUUCCAACGGUGCUAGGAGGUACGGUUUGAACUUAAGGAAACAAGCCUAGACCUGAAUGCUGUCAUCUGUUGUGUUGCAGAUUUGCUGAUUAGGGAAUGCGCUCUUUUUCCUCCUAUCUUCCUUUUCUAUUUCAAUUUUUUUUAAUUUUAUUUAUUUAUUUAUUUUUUUUUUACUUACUGUGUUGAAUGUUUAUGACUGAGACAUUAGUUGCCUAGGCAUUACUAAAGGCUGUGUAGACAGUCACAAACAAAUCUGAGUCCUGGAAUCUAUUGGAGCAGCUUAGAGCUCUGCCUAUUUAGUCUCAUCAGGAAGACCAAGAGUUGAUUUGCUUAAUAUACAGUACUUUCAUGGUAAUACUGUAUUGGUCUCACACACACACACACACACACACACACACACACACACAAAUUAAAUUGAAUAGCACAGGAGAAUGUGUGGCAAAGUGGUGAACAGCUCAGCCAUCUGGAAAUUGAGGCGAAGCCAAGCUCAAAUGAGAAAUUUUGCCAUCAUAUAUUGGAAAAGAAAAACCUCCUAAGGAAUGACACUUCAUAUACUCUCCUUAAGAUAAGACUGAAUAACUUUUCAAAAGAUGCAUUGUAGCCAACUAUUUAGUUAAAUAGGUAGUUAUUUAGCUCUGUGCAGGAUUCCUAAGUGAAAUUAACAGGUUAGUGAUAUGUAGGAGACUAGAACAGGUGAUUGUAAUACUCCUUGCUUGUCUUAAACUCUGUGAAUCUAUAACUGCAUGUGCCAGUUGAGAGGAUACUCAAGACUGUGUCUAGGUCUAGGCCAACAGUCUUAAAAACUCCUAGGAACCUGCCAUCAUAUCCUGUGGACCUCCUUCCACAUGUACCUAUACGCUUCCCAUGGUGGAAAGAAACAUCCCCAGUACUCUUAGGUGAUGAUGCCUAGUAGAAGUUUAUUAUCACCUUCUCUUUAAAAAUGACUGUCUUGUUGUUGCCCUUGUUGAUGAGGACACAGCACCACUUCUCGUGUUGUUGUGUGUAGUAGGAAACAUCCUGAUGAUCAGAUGUUUUGGAGGAUCAUCAUGGAAGAAGCUGACUAGCACCUCCUGUUCCAAAGGCUGAGUCUCUUUUGUAGUUUCUGAGUAGUUCAAAUCUGCCAUCCACCUGUUCUGUCUGCCAGUCAAGAUGGUCAUGUUCUCAACUUUCCAUUUUAUGGUCAGGGAAGUACAUGAGAAUUUGGACUGCGAAGAAAACUAGUACCUGCAACUGCAGGGCACCAAGAUGUGGUUACAAGUUGGGCUUCAGUUUCAUAUUUCUUAUUCUGCGUAACUAUUUGGACUUGCUAUGGCAUUUUGGUCAGUGUUAUUCCUUCGUGAAAUCCAUAUGCUGAUAUCUUCUUACCUUAAAAAUGUAUCUUGAUGUAAGUUCCCCAAAUAUCCAGUGCUUCCCUCACUCCCCACUUUUAAAGGAAAUACAGCUCGAGUAUGUAUGUGGGCUGAGCAGUGGUGUUUGGGAGACUGGGAAUGGUGGGAAAAUGAGAUGGGAUUAUGUUCAUAUUGCCCAUUGCUUUCAUUAUUUCAGCUGAAGUUUGCUGUGCAGUAUCUCUAACAGUUGGGUGGCUUCAGUAAGGCACCUGAAACUAGAAACCACAUUUAAAUUGAAUCCUUAAUAAACACCAGAUAAAUAACAUUAGUAUGAGGGAUUAAAGGAAGAGUAUUGUAGGAAUUUAAGGUCAUGAGGUUGAUGGCUCUUCUUACAAUGUUCUUUUGAACAUGUGACUAAAUCCCACUGUUUACCCUGCAGUAUUACUUACUCUGCCAUGCCAAGGCAGUUGUCAGUUUUGGAAGAGGUAGCAGUUUCACAUAUGUACCAUAUUUUAAGUAUGAUUGAUUGGUUUAAAGUAAUGAGAGUUUUAGAUACAGCUACGUAAUUCUGCUAACUAAUAAAUAUACCUAGCGCUAACCUCAUUGUGGCUGCUUGGGAAUAUCUGCAGACACAGUGGAUUCCCCAGUUUUUUAAUUUUAAUUUUUAUUUUUCCCAUGCUAAAUGUUAAUGCUGGUGUCCUCCUUUCUCUGGUAAAGGUAGAAGUGGCAUUGUUCCUCUGUUUCUAGGACGUCAAUGUGAUGCCUGCACAUUUCUACCUCAAAAUUCACACCCCAGCUUCACCCAGUGGAUGCUGAAAUAAAUUAUUUAGACUUAUUUUUGAAAGUUCCCUCUGGCCAUAUAAAGUAGGUUCAAUUGGAAAGUGUUUUCCUUGAUCAAAUUUUUCCACUAGCAUUUAAUCCAUGAUUUUUGCGCUGAAUGCACUUGGAUAGGACAUAUCCUUCCAAUUAAUUUUUUGAGUUAAGAUUUUUAAAACAUAUCUGUUUAACAAGUGUCCGAUGAACGUGUUCGUUGCUGCUCCUGUGGCAGAGCAACAUUGUGAUGUUUCUACAGAAAGGCAGACUGCAAGCAAUUUGGACCCGAGAAGCAGUUAGCAAUGUGUGGCACACAAGUCAGGGGCUCUGCUGUGAAUUCCUCUACAAAUCUGUUAUGUGAUCCUGAGGAAGUCACAGUGCCUGUCCAUGCCUGCCUCUUCCCCAUGUCUCAUCUGCUGACAGUACUCUACUUAACAGGUUUCCUUUGAAACGUAGUAAAUAUAGCAUUUUAGAGUCCAAGAGUGUAAAUCUUUCAAGUCAGUUUACAGAUAUACCAUUCUAGUUGGAUUGGAUAAAACACACAAAGAAGAAUUUGGUUUUAACCUGUUGGUGCAACACAUCCUGAGCUGGACUUUCACAGGUAUUGCCUUCUGCACAAACAAGCUGCAGGCAUAUAACCCUACGAGGGUAUUUGCUCAACAAUGUGCAAAAAUCCAGCUCACUGUUCCCAGGAAUGGGGGUAAGUGUGUCCUGUUCAAGAAGCAAGCACAUUUAAACUGACAAUUGCAAAUUACCAUGACAGUAUAAAAUGUUGCAUCUUACAGGAAGAAAACAACAACAUCAAAACACAAAACUCUCACAUUCAAUGGUGAUACCACACCCCAAAAUAUUUCUUAGCAGGUUAUUGACCAAUUCCGCUUAGCAAGUUAAUUUAGAAGUACUGUUUGUUUAUCCCUUCCAUUUGUCUGCAUGGUAGGAGGCAAUAACAGUUUCAUUUUGACUGCACCAUAUACUUUGUGCUGCGAAGAGGCAAUUGUUCAAGUUGAUAAAUUUCUCUCUCAAAAAAACAAAACAAAAAUGUUACUGUGUGCUACUUCAGAAAAGCAGAACAUUGCUUUUCCUCAAGUUUAAUUAUAGACGCUGUUUAUCUGCUUAGAUCUCCCCAAGGCCAAGCUUUCCUAAUAAUAUAUAAAAAUUCUGCUCAGUAUCCAUGCCCUACACAUAUAUCUGUAAAUGUGAAUGCAAAGACCCAUCUUCCUUGUGUAAGCUGACAUGAAAUAUGGUCGCCAGCAUACCUACAUGCCAGCAGUCUGUGCAAUGGAGGCAAAGGAGUGAUAGCUGUCUCACUUCCCUUGUAAAUCCUCAGCUGAGGUGGCAUGCACUGCGUAAGUCUUUAUCUAGAUAAUAUAUGCAGGCUGUACCAGAGAGAGCACAAAGAGCUGCAUCUACAAAAUGUAUCUUACAGGGAUUUUGGUGGGGAAGGAAAGACCUGAAUAGUUUAGUAGGUCUGGAAUCAAAUAUAUGGCAAUUCGGAUGUUUUUCAAGCGGUGCUGUAGUAUUUGCCUCCUUUUAACAAUGUGGCUGGAUCGCGUCCAUGCCCAUCUUUUGGACACAGCACUGUCCUGCUAAACAUCACAGAUUGUCCUAACGAGAUCCCAAUGCACAGCUCCUGUUUCACUAGGCUCUGCCAUGCCAUAACAGGUGAUGGACUCUUCUGGCUGUGGUAUCUUCUGUCUUCUAAUCAGUGCUGUACCACUAAGCAAAAAGAAAUACAAUAUUCUUAGGGAGGAAGAGAGAGAGUGAGUGAGGAGCUCUCUCUCUUUCUCAAUGACCCUAGCACACAUGCAGGGAUGCAGACACCUGGAUUUGGUCCACACUCUCCUUUUUGUGGUAUCCCAUACACUACAACUGGCCCAGCAGCUAACAGAGAAGAGGGAAUCUCUUUUCAGAUAUCAGAUCCCACUUUUAGAAAUUAGCAUCAAGUCUUAUUUCUGUGCCAAGCAGCUCCUGAACAGAAGCAGCUAUCUCGCUACUCCCACCUGUGGAUCUCAUAUUAUGAAACUAGGUACAGAUUUCUUUAAUGGUCUCUUUAAAUGCAAAAGCCAAGUGCUGGAUCUCUUGCAAAGUUUUUGGUAGGUCAGAUUUAAUUUUCCAGGUGGGAUUUGGCCAAGACGCAUAAACUAUUGUAAAUAUUGCAAUGAAAGCUUUAAGACUUUAAAAUGGCCUUUAAAUAGUAUCUAUAAAGCUCUAUUUUAGUCUCAGAUAAAUAUCUGUGCAUGGUGCCACUACCAUUUAGCAGCAGUGGGUAAGUAUUGUCUCAGAAAUUUUGCUGUUGCAUCAUCUCAGCUCAGCUGCAACAUCAGGUUAAACGAGGAGGAAAGCAAAGCUUCCUGUAUGUUUUCUGCAGCUGAUAUUUUAUAAGCAUUACAAGGAUGAAAUAAACAGGGGUAGAGGGUGGGUGUCAGAAAUAAGCAUAGCUGUAAGCCUGUUUUCUGUGUGCAUUUUAAUAGAGAUCACCCACCAUCCUGUAGCCUGCGUGUGGUUUAGUAAUAGCCUCUGCUGUGCUGUGCUGGCCAGGGCUCAUCACUUGCUGCACCCUUGGUGUUAAAGGCUGGGCCCUGCUUCAUUACAGAGUGUCUUAACCUUGCUUUACCCUUCUAUCCAACAACAGCUGCUUUGUUUCCUUGUGCUAGCAGUCAAACAUCGCAAAUUCCUCCUCUGUAAAGCCAUUAAAAGAGAACCAACACCACCCCAAGUGGUUUCAGAACUAACUGAUUUAGAUGCUGGAGUCUGUUGCAAGGCCAAAAAUAACUCCCCAUUUCUUUCUCCUUCAUUGGUGAAAGGAGGAGAGAAAGUGGCCAAUGACAGAGACACAAAUUCCCCGUAGGCAUCAGAGACAAAUCUAUUUCAUAGCAGGAGAAAAAAAAAAUAAUGCUCCUGAAAAAUGUUUCUUUGCUUGGGCCAAUAGAUACAGAACUGCUGCAUGUAAUUUUGCUGAACCGAUGGUAUCACUUGAAUGGCUCACGGACUACACAAAAUGCAUUACAUAAUUGUAUUUUUAAACACUGUCCCCAGCUGUGCUGAUGCACAUAAAAGCUGUGUUUACAAAGGACUCUGCACAUGUAAUUAUUUUGUGGCACUAGCUCCGUGCAUUUCCUUGAUGGAUGCUCCGUGGUGCAUAAAAUUGUAGCUUUUAUCAAAGGUUCUUGAAUAUAUUCUUCGGCUGUUUCAGCUUUAAACACCCCGUUGUCCCUGCAUGGGUGCACAGGACUGAUUCCUGGGAGGGCUAAAUUGCAGCAUCUCCCUGAUGAACACCUCCCUGUCCUCUGCGAGCAGCCGGGGGGGAGCACGGUGAGUGUUGGAGGUAGGGCACCUGGGUCGCUGGGAGCGUGCCCAGCAGCAGAGCUGGCUGUUCCUCUCAGGAUGGAGCACCAGCUCCCCUCCGAUUCGACCUGCACCUCUUCAUCCUGGCCUAAUUAAUGCUGCACCGACCCAGCCACCGGGCAGCACAGGGCUGCAGGUGCAAAGUCAAACAGUGUGUGGCCCAGGAUAUCAGGCGGCUCACAGCAGCUUUGAUUUAUAGCCCCUCCUGUCUCUAUACAGCGAGCUCUCAGCAUUUCACUGUGAGGGCUCCCUCAGCUGUUCUCCACCCGAUUGUGGAAGACUGAGCAUUUCUUCAUCCAUACAACGCAGUAGCCGAUGUGUAGGACCCAGCAAAGAGGACAGGGGGACGUUUAUCUUAGGUCUGUUCCAGUAUUCUUGAGUAUUAAUAUCACUGUGAAAACCUAGAUGCUGGAAGGAUGGGUACACAUCACGGUCCAAGAGAUUUGCCUGCCAAGCAAUAAUGCUUGGAAAUAAAUAAAGGCAAAAAGUAAUACCACAUCCUGAGCAUCAGUUUCAAAGUGAUGGAAUAGCCGCAUCGCUGCUAGCUACCUUUUUAUUACUAUUACUGCAAGGAACUGGCGGAUUUUUCUUGUCAAUAAGCAAAAUGGUUUGGCACCGUACCUCUCCUCCUCCCUGGCUAGCCUUGGAUGUGAGACUCCGCAAAGGAAAUGCUGAUUUUGUUGUGAGCCAGCUCUAAAGGCAGGUGGUUGGGUGGAAGUCAGGCCUGCUUGCUGGUCGCAGGUAGUUUGAAUUCCUCUGCCCCCAUUCCUUGCCCUUUUCAGCUCUGCGUGGGGCUGUGGGAGCUGGAUGCCCGUGCUUGCCAAAGGACAGUUGCACAACGUAAAGCAGUCACUGCUCGCUGCCAGUGGCCAAUGAAUUAUUCCACAGCAAAUGGCCUGACUGCUGGUAAACCAAAUUUUCCACCCUGACAUGAAUGUGGUCUUUUCCCGUCAUGGAAACUGUUCAGCUACGGAUGUCCUCAGCAUUCCCUCUGUCUGGCAUGUGAAGUUUACAUACCAGCUUCAAAGCUGCUCUUGCGUUUUGCACCAAAGGGUCAGGCAACGGGAGAGGAAUCUCUGGAGUGGAAAAAAUGUGGAACUGCAGAAGUUUAUUGUAUGUUCAUUUGCAUAGUCUGCCUUCGUGAUAAAUCACACCUCUAAGUAAACUGGUACUUAAAAAAGAGUCCUCGGAUAACCUGCUCGGAGCCUGAGCCACCAGAGGUGCUACUUCUUUUGAAAGCAGGCGAAGCUACCAGGAACAGUGCAAGGGAAACACUUCUGGAGUAAGCACCCCUUUGUGUUGUUUGUAUGGCUGCACAUCCUGCUUCUGGAUCGCAAGUUGGUGUUUUAUUAGAGGAUAAAAUAUCUUGUACGUAUGAAAGCAGCGUGCGUUUUUCACUGGGUAAGGUGUAUUUCUUACUAAAGCAUGAGAGUAUUAUUUUCUAAAAGGGCUUAUUUCUUUCUACUCCCUUUAUCUUCCUCUAGAGAGCCUCGCUGAGAGUCUAUCAGCCAUCUAGGCCAAAUAUGUUUUUCAAAUAUGUGAUCAUCUAAUACAAAUCAGCAUAAUUCUGUGUGCCUUCAGAGCUGUGACUUAAGCCAGCGGAGGAUCUAACUCCUUGGUACUUUAUGUAACAUAGAUAAACCCCCAAAUUUGUGAUUAGAGGAGAAAUAUUUCUAGGUAUAACAUGCUUAUAUCAUCACUCCGCCACCCUAGCUGCAGUUCCUUGCUGCAGAGACUUGUGCAAGACGCCUGGGUUUAUCUUCGGGGCAUUUGGCGAUAAUAGCUGCCUGCCUUUUGCAAAAUGUUAUUGCUACAUGCAGGGGAAAGUAAGAAUCCCCGCUGAAGUUAACACAAGUUUCACAGUUCAGCAGGAAGAAAACAGACGUCUUCAGGCUGCUGCCUGAACCCCAACCGUUGCCCUUUUGUAGCUCUGAGUCACCCGAGGCUUCUGUUUCCAAAAGCAAGAUAAAGUUUUGAGGAGUCAAAGUUCAGUGUAAGUGAUGUCAGGGCUAUAGGUCCCGUCUUUGCUGCAGUGAGGCCCUCUAGGAAAUGCCCGAUAAAGCCUAGAAGGAAAUGGGACUGACUUCACAGAUUUCUGGAGCGCUGUAAUUCGAUCCCAGCUAUCGUGCUAACUCAGAGAGGCAUUUUCUUUUUUAAUUUCACAAAGCUCUAUCGCUGUAUUAUCUGAGCAGCUAAGUACUCCGCUUAUGUAAGUCGAACGUAAUGGGAUGUCUGCGAAACUUUGCUGCUUACAGCCUUGGAAAUUUCUGCACUGCUAUUUAACGGUGACUCAGCUGCAGAUCUCCCGUAUGAUCCCCGAGAACGCGUGCUGGGGUGGGAUUUCCAUCCUCUGAAGGAGCAUAGGAGCGUGGUCCUCAGUGGUCCUCGGAGAUGGCUGUGGCCCUGCUCUUCUCCUGCGCUCUGUGAAAUCACUCUGUGAAACCUGAACAUGCGUUUCCAAAGUCUUCUGGAGGAUAUUUUUGGCCCCAUAGGUGGCACUUUAAGGAAAAUUUGACUAAGUGCUAUUUUGUGACCUGUGUAGGUUCAUAGCGUACUGCUAACCGUGUGCCCAGGCAUAGUACAUGCAGCUACAUGGCAAGGUUUACUGCCCAGUGGGAGUGAAAAACAUGUGUUUUAAAUAGAUGUGCAUUGGGGAAAAAAAGUGUUAAACUUCAAAGGCACAGGCUUGGGGCCUUCAUAUGUUUUCUUUGUUCUCUGUUGGUCUUAAAUGAGGUUCAUCACCAUAUCCAGUGGACUUUAAUUGCAACAAUGGGCUCAGAAGAGCUGCCUGCACUUUGCUGUGGAGAUGGCAGCGAGGAGAUAAAAUGCAGAGGAGCUGGUUUGGCCUGGCCACCACAGGCUGCAUCGCAGGGCGACUGGCAGGUCCCUGAGACGUGUUACUGACAGCCAGAUUUUAUCUAGGCAGCGGUAAGGGCUUGUGAAACUGGAUGGCUCAAGGAAUGACUGAUGAGGGCUUUAUGAUGAAACUUUUGUCUAAACCAUGUCAACUGUGACCGAAAAUUAUAACUGAGGGGUUAUUUCAGAGUCUAGGGUGAGUGAGCAGGUGCCCCGAGUCCAGCUUAUUGCAGAGAUGUCUUCAGUGUAAAUCCACCGGCUCAGUUUGCACCAUUUAACGUCAGUGGGGGCAACCACAAAGGGUGACGUGGCACGGUGAUGAACCAUGCUCUUACCCCUCAAGUGGCUCCCCCGAUUUAGAGCUCGGCCAUUUAAUGAGGCAUUAUGACGAUAUUGCCGUUACUUUGUGUUUUUCUCUGUAGAUAAAUCAUCACAGUCAGAUGUAGACACACAGCUGUGUUUUGUGUGCUCACGCAGAAACGCAGGCUCCAGUUCUCUCAGGAGCAGUCCCAGCGGCCCAACUGGGACUGUGUUAUUAACAGAGGCGUAAUAAUAUUUAGGUGGGCCUCCUGUGCAAAUGGCAUGGGGAUUCCCCCUACGUGAUUCUCAUUUCUGACUCCGAAAUAUCCUCCUUCCUCUACUUGUCCCUGUCCCUGGGAUUUAUGAUGCUUUGGGGGUGUCUCUGCUUUUCUUGUGACACCGGUAGCUCCUGCACAAUCCCAAAGCGUUGGUUACUCACUCAAGUCAAUGUGGAGGUUUCCCCUACUGCAUUGACUCAGUAGCACUCCAUGAAAUUUCCCUACUGCCUGAUUCUGCCAAUGAUCACGUCCUAGUUUUUGUAAAGCAAUGUCCGAUUGCCCCAUCUCUGCCAAAAAACGAUUACCCAUGAAAAAGAACAAGCUCCACCUUUAGGGCAGGUUUGCAAAUGCAGCAGGAUGUACUCGGGGGUAGGCAGGGGACAUUUGCCAGCUUUGUUCCAGGGAGCCAGCAGCCAAGAUGGGGACUGGGGCAGGCAGAGUUUCAGCCUUGGCUCUGGUAACGAUUUUCUGCAUGGCCUCUUGUAAGCUCUUUCGUGUCUCCACCUUGUUUUGCCCAAGCCUAAAAUGGAGCUCAAAAUCGUCACUUUUCUAACACCUCCCCCUCCCCACACACACAGAGUUGUGAGCAGGUUUAAUGUUUAUCUCAGAGGCUUUGAACAGCAUCAUCCAUCCAGGGAAUGCAGGCAGGCAUUCAGACCCCAGAAUGAGCUUUAUAAAAUCAUCAGGAAAUAAAAUGGCAUCUAUAUUAAUCAUAAAUCUGGGAUUGGAACAGAAUACUUGGUUAACAAACCUGCAAAACAAGCUUUGUUUCAUUGGCUUGAGCUGCUUUACAGCUCUGUUUGUGUAUGUGGAAGUGAUGUUCAGUCUUUUUAAAUGAGUCACAGGACUGGAAGAACAAAAAUAUUGGAUGGUAACAUAUAGCAGCAAAACAAUUACUCUUUUCAUUCUGACAAGCACAAUAACCAGAAUAGCUAGUUAGAGCUAAAGGUCUAGGCAGAUAGUUUCUUUCAACGUACCAGGGAUUUUAGAUCUGCUCGCAAGACAGGGAAACAGCACUGAAAUGUUAUAGCAAUAAAAGACAGCGUUAGAUCAAACAAUAAAAACAAGCAUGCCCAUUAGGAUACAAGUAUUUACAGGUAGGAAGGCUCUCCUGGUCAGUGGCUCCAUGCAGUAUGCUCGCACAGCACAGCCUCGUCUAGCAGCUUUCUGUACCUUUAUCCAGAGGAGAGUCCUUUCCACCCUGCUUGCUGCAUUGCACCACUGAUUUAGUGAAGACAUCAUCCUCAUAAGGAUGCUCUUCUAACUCACCUCUGAAAUCCGCUUGCUUUUCUCCUCUGACAAUUAGGUUUAAAUGUGCUGCAGCAAAGUACUCAUCCUUAGCAGUCGUAUAGCUUUUUAAGUGAUAAACUGCAUUAGCAAAUUCCUUAUUAGAUAAUCUAUCAAAUGAGGUCAUACAUAAUUUUAGCAGUCUCAUCUUGAUUUAUAACGUGAUCGCAGCAAAUUACGCAUACACAAAGCAGCACGCUGGCUGUCAGAGUCAGGUAUUGUCACCCUGCUAAAAAAAGCAGUUCCCAGGCCAGCCCAGUGGCCUACUGGUGGCACUCCCUAUUGCCAGGGCGAGACCCGGUUUGCCUUACAGCCCUCGAGCUCACCCCCAGCUCUCCUUAGGACUGACGGGAGGCAGAGGCAGGAGCCUAAAGCCUUGCUUUGCACCUCUGUGUAGUAAUCCUUCCUGGCGUUUCUUCUCAUGGCUUUUCCAUGCUCCCCUUAGCAGGGGUACUUCAAAGAGCAAGCUUCUGUAUGGGGCUGUGGGGCGCUGAUGUACUCUCUGCACCCCUUCUGUUUCCUCGAGGGAAUAAAAGGUUGGCAGGAGCAUCAGGCAGUGCUGUGCAUGGGGGUAUCGGAGGCUGUGCCCUGCUGCAGGCUGCUUGCACUGCUGAAGGCUUGGUCAAGCCGUGCCACUGGUCUCAUGAGAGGCCCAAGGUAUGAAAUUUGGGGAAAUUAGGGGGUGUUUUAGGCACAAAUGCUGUUUCUGAAUGGUGCUUUGCUACUGCUGUAGUGCCUCUGUCACUGCAAUUAAAUUGCUCCUGGGAUCAGGAAGGGACGUGAUCCCUAUCCCCCAGCUUCAAACUUCUUCUGCAAACAUUAUUUCAUCCCCGGAGAUUUAUCUGUAACUGCCAUAGGGGGGAGCUGCAAUAAAUUAUCUGGUCUUGCCUUUCUCUUCACCUGCUCUCACCUCGCAUUGGUAUUUCUAGGGUCUGAGCGGCACGAAGUGUCGAGAGUGCAUGUCAUCUGCGUGUCUCUGAGUAACUUAUGUCCAUCCCACUGUUCCUAUGGCCAAGCCCUGCCCAGGAAGGAGAAAGCAGGAUUUAUUCCUCGACACUUUGUCAAGCCGCGUGUGGCAGAUCGCAGCAGGGCUUGGGGAGAGAAAUCCAAGACCCAGAUGAAGACCAGAGCAUUGGACAUCCCUCCCAUCGGAGCCACGAGCCAAAGCUGCAGCUCCUCCCCACAUGCGGGGCAGCAAGGACCUGUUCCUGAGCAGCACUGACCAACACCAGGGCUGCAAAGUCCCCAUCGGUAUGGUGGACACUGGGCAAUUUUUUGGGGGGGAAGGAAAAAAAGGACCCAUUUCCCUGCCCUGCUCCCUGGCAGGCAAGGGGGGAGAUACAGCCCUGUCUCCUUGCGUGGCUGCUGCGUGUCCCCCAGGCUCUGGGCAGCACUGGGGCCCCCAGCAGCCCUGGGUUGGAUGCUCCUGCAGAAGAUCUGCCUCUGCAGAGGUGCUCGCAGCCAUUGGUACAAGUGCUGCAGAGCUGGUUGCCUGGCAGCACGCGCGUCCUCUUCCCCAUGAUGAGCAGAGCAUUGUCUCCACCAACCCGGACCACUUCCCCGACCUCACAGCUCUACCCAGGCUGGAGAGACACUGCUGCCGAGCACGGUUCACCGAAAUGGACUGAGCUGGCCCCGCGGAGACCCCUGCACCGAGGUGAAUUCAUCCCGAAUGCUGCUGUGCUCGGCAGGGAUCAGCGCUAAGAGAGCAAGUGCUCUUAAAGAAACACAUGCUAAUUAGCGUGCAUGAAUAUGUAGAUCUCUGCAAAACUAUCAGAGCAAAAGUGGCUGUGAAGCUAAGCCCAAGGUCUGCCUUCUCGUGCCUGGGUCUUCAGUUCCUGUUGAACACCAGCUAAACAUGUUUCUCGUGCCAAAAGAAGGCAAAUCGCUGUGUCGGAGAGCACAGAGCUGCUCUGGAUCUCUGUGGCUUAAAAACCGUGUGCAAUGUGUUUAUCUGCUCCCAGCUUGGCACUCGGCCGCCGAGGAUGCCACGAAUACGAUUUGUGUGCUGUAGUAACUCAGAUGCUGAACAUGACUAUCACAGGACUAUGAACGUUAGAGCCAGAAAAAUUAUGACCUUCAGAAACAUCCAUCUUUCUUCAAAGAAAGCAAGCCCUUGUGAGUCAGGCUUGUCACCCCCCAGCAGCAGCUGAGAGCUGUCUUUUUGGGAGAUGUGGAAGGAAUGAGGAAGGAGCCUGAUACAUGUCACUCCACUGUGGUGCAGCAGGGCUGGGCACGCAGGCUGGGAAGGGUAAGGGAGGACCUGCAGCCCCACACAGCUGUGGUGGGCAAGCCGUGGUGCUCGUGCUGCACAGGGAGCACUCAGGAGGAGCUAGCUGGCUGCCCAGGGGCUGGGGACGUCGAUUUGGUUUGCAUGGGCUCUUCUGGGAGAUUCUGGGCUGCAGCAGAGGUGGGAAAGGCCCUCUGGAGGUCCCCUGGUCCAACCCCUGCUCAAGCAGGGCCACCGACAGAAGGUUGCUCAGGACCACGUCCAAGCAGCUUUGGAAAAUCUCCCAGGGGGGUGACUCUGCAGCCUCUCUGGGCUCAGCCACCUGCACAGCAAGGUUGUACAGAUGUGUCUGCAUGGUGAAGAAGCAGCCCCUCUGUUGAAGGUGCAAAUUCACCCAGCUGGGGUGAGCUCCUGGCAAGCUCCUCACCACCAGAGCUGACCAUUGCACUGCAAGAUUUGUCCCAAGAAGGCUCAGGCUACAUGAAAGGAGGCAGGAGCAGCUCUCUUCUGACUGUGACCACUUGCCACGAUGUGGGAAUGGGCAUCGUUUCACCAGGACCUACAGCUUCAGCUUCAUCCUCUGCAGCAUCCCUACCUCAGCAGUAACACCCUGCAGGUACUUGUGCAGAGGUGCCUGAGCUGCCAUCCCGUGUGAUGUUCCUGGGGUGCAUGUUCUUCACCCCAGGGAUUUGUGGUUCUCCAGUGGUGCACGCCCCACAGACACAAAUGGGUCUCCUGAAGAGCAGCAGCUGCUGAGCUGGAAGGUCUUGCUCUAGUUGCCAGUCUUCCUGUCCAGUUGUCCCUUCUCCAGCCUGAAAACAAUCUUCUUCAGCCUUUCAAGAUAUGUUUGACUGGCUUUCCAUCCUCAGGGUGAUACAUUUAAAAAACACAGUCUUUGGAAAGUACAAAGCUUCAUUUCUCAGGACUGUGCCCGUGAAAUUUGUGGGAAAAGAGUAUUAGAAGGUUUUAGACCAAUGCAACUCUGUGUGAUAAAAAUCCUUUUAACAAGUUAGCUUUUUAUGGUAAUUAUAUGCACUGUAGGUCAAUGAGAAUGUACAAGAAACAUUGUUUAUGUGCAUAAUAUGAAUAGUCAUCAUUAUCAACAUUGCAGAAUAGGGAAGAAGAUAAAAAACAGAUAUUGUAGACGUGGUGGUAAUGGGCUGUUCAUAACAGGAAUAUUUUUAAUUAAUUCUUUGUGGUGAUACGCUACUAUUUAAGUUUAGCAGUGUUCCAUGUCAUAUACGGUUUUCUUAAGAUUUAUAAAAAGAUCAAGAAUCAGACUUUAACUAAAGAAGCCAAGCUGAGUGUAGUGCAGAUGAGAAACAACAUGGUCCUCAGCAAUGUUUUCAGGCAUCAUGAGCUAAAAUUCACAGCCAGCUGGAAGUCACUUGGAAUUACAAGGGCACCUGUAUACCUGCUAUCUUCAUCCACUGCAAUGCUUUAUUGUUAAGCAUUAUUAUUCAGGUACUAUGCUGUCUGCAGUUCAUAGAUACUGAAAGAAUUUUAAGGCAGACGUAGUCAAAUUUUCAGAGAAUAAGAGAUUGAGAGCCCAAAAUUUCAACAAAAUAUCCACUCUCCUUUCACUGUCUCUGUAAAAGAGGGCUAAUAUUUGUGUCUCAUGGGAUAUUGUGAGAUUAAUAGCUUUUGGAUGCAUAAAGUGCAUUGAAGAUGGAAAGAUCCAAGUCUUAUUUCACAAUAGCCGUGCAAUUGCAGCACAAGCAGAGCAGACCCGGCCUCCCCUCAGCUAGGGACAAACAGCUUGGAACUCGGCAAGUACUCUAUCCAGCUAGAACAAAUACAAUUUUGCAGUCCAUUGAUUUCCAUUUACAAUGCCAAGUUUUAUUUCAUUUAUUUUUUGAAUAUCUGUGUGCCACAACACCAACUUCCUUUUUUUUUUUAUUUUUCCCGCUUUAAAGGAAGUGCCACUGGCAUGUGAUCCUCAUUAGCCUACCAGUAUUUAGUUAAAAGAUGACAAACAAAAUGGGAUCAUUUAAGACAGUUUUGAUAAUGCAGCCUAAAACUCCCUUCUCUUUAUUUAACUCUAAGACAUAUCUGAAGGAACGUAGGAUUUCUGAGCAUAUCGGGUGACUACAUGCCUGCAUGGACUAUGUAGAGGUGCCUUGUGUAUGCAGAUAGGGCCAGAUUAAACAACUGUACCCUAGGUGUUAUUUAAUGACUUAACAAAUAACGAUAGCAAACACAUGAAUGUCAUUUGGGACAAACUCUACCCUCCAGUGUGACCGCCUGCAUUUCCCUGGCGCUGCACAGUGACCAGAAGAGCGCUGUGCAGCAUCAAGCUGGGCUCCUCCUGGUGUUGGCAUGCGUGGCGUGGAUCCUGGCCUGGGGGCCUCUCCUGGAAGCCUGGAAGGUUUGGGGUCAUCCCACACAAGCAGCCUUCAGAUUCCCCCUUCAAGCCUCCCCUCACCCAACAAGUGGGUCUCUGUCCCUGACGGCAAAGCUCAGCACCUGCCACUGAGCAGACGCGCUCGAUACUACUGAAUGAGGACAGGCUGCCCAGAGAGGCUGUGGAGACUCCCCCCUUGGAGAAGCCUCCUGGACAUGGUCCUGGGCAACCUGCUCUGGGUGGCCUGCUUGAGCAAGGGUUGGGCCAGGUGACCUCCAGAGGUCCUUCAGCCAUCCUGCGAUUCCGUAUUUAAGGAGGAAAGCAGGACGUUGGAGCAGGAGUGAAUGCCUCAACACCUGAUAUCCCCUUUGCCAGUGUCGAGGCUGCUUUGCUGAAAGCCCCUUCAUUGCCGUGGAAAGCUCUGCUGGUUUUGCUGCAUUUCCCCUGCUCGGUACAGGGCUGGAUGCGCUGAGCUGCGAGGUGUGAAGGAGCAUCCUGGAGGAGAAGGAAGCUAAAUAUACUCUGCUACAAGAUUUCUGCCAUUCCUCUCGCCACCCCCAGAUCCCAGAGACUACAAUGGCUUAUGCAGGGCUUUACAUAUGCAGCAAAUGGUGGGGGAGGAAAAUUCCCACAGAUGAAGAGCUGCAGCCCAGUACCACCACCUCCACCUACAGCACACAGCCUGCAGUGGUGCUGGGGUGGGGUUUGAGGGAAAGCUCUCCAAUCGUUGCUUCCAAAGAGAGGUCCUACAUGACUGCAUUUAGGAAAGGAUGCCUGGCUACAGGGAGAACCUUCCCUACAGCUUUGCUGUAGCCACCUGCACAAGGUGGGGAGGAGGGGAUUUCCUCUUCGACCCCCUGUGUUUAGUGCUCCCUUUUCCUUAGCUCUGAGGGACUUGCCAGCCUGUGGGGGUUAUUUUCUUUCCAGCCAUCCUUUGGCCACAUUCCUAUGAGCAGUCUGUAAGCUAUCCAUAUGCCUACAGGAGCUGGGUGCUGUGGAUGUUCCCCGGGAGGCCAGGAGCCUGACGACACGCUCUCCAUCUCUUAUGAGCGCAUUGCCUUGUUAGUGGUUAAGGAGCACGACUCCCUGUCAACGCAGAAGAGCAAACAAGUUUCCUCUCAUUUGCCCCUGACUUCAUGCUUACAUAAUCCCACUAAUUUCAUUUGCAUGAGACCAGAAACAGAUCCAUAGUCUCUUGGUGGAGAUGAUUUUGCAGAGCUGUGAUCCUAGCCAGAAGGGCGAGCAGGAGUCCGCUUCCCAUGCACAAACCUCCAUGCCAGAAGCGGUGUGCGGGGUGGCUCUUUUCUGCCCACCCGAGGCUUUUAAGGACAUUUGCGGGCCUUGUAUGCAGCGGGGUGGAGGCAGAGGAGGGCGACUGAGCUGCCCUCCCUCCUCUCCAAGUGGAAGCGGCCUCGCAGGCUGUUUUUAUCUCCAGGUACACAAAAGGAAAUUAAACAAUUAGAACGGAUAGCUCAGAGCUGUAUGCUCCGAGGGGAAGAAAUUACUAUUGGUUUGACAGGUCCGUAAGUGAAUUACUUAUUUAUGUAGCUCAAUAGAUUUAAUAUUAAUCACAGAUGAAAGACACAAGUUAAACAUGCUUCGCAAACACGCGGGAUGACUCCUUAUUUACCUGCGAGUGGCUCGGGCUAGCCUUGCUGCCAGGACAGCCAUGGACAGGCAAGGCCGGGAUAGCACAAGUGAAAAAUGAAUGAAAGCAAAAAAAUAGCUCUUAAAAGUUUCAGAUGUUGGAAUUGCUCAAAGAGAUAACACAAAAGAAGGAUAUAAAACCCACGGCUGGAUGUCAAUGUUUGCAAGCAACCGUACAUCUGAGCUUCAGCAGCUUUGUGCUAGUCUGGGGCAUCAGACAAGCGAAACACGUUGCCCUCCCAACCCGCUGAAUCUCCUAUUCCUGUCCAAAGCUGGCACAGGUAAGAGCAAUCAGCACCUUCUCAUUACUUGCCUGACACUUUGCCUUGAUACCCCUGAAAAAGUCUCCAGAAUGUAUAGGGGGAGUCAACUGAAUUUUUUAAAGCAUCACGCACACAAUGUACAUCAGGUGGAAAAACGCUCUUGGAAUCUGCUAUCCCAUGGGUGAAACAGCUGAGGAGAAGAAAGCUCCUGUCAAAGGAAACCGAAAGAAAAGAGCUUUGGAGCAAACUUUAGACAUAGUAAACUCCCUCUGAAAUGUGUCUGUGCCAUCAUCUUCUUAAAGAACCUUGAAAAUUGUACGUUUUUCAUGCCUUAUAUCUUUAAAAGUAUCCCACUCUUUUUUUUUUCUUUUUUCUUUUUUUUUUUUUUCUAGGCCUUGUCAAUGUUGUCAUCUAAGCAGCCAGAGGGUCUCUUCUAAGCAAUGUGAAAAAAAUGUGCUUGUAAAACUGUGCAAAUACCUAUUAAAAAAGGAUAAAUAAAA